AGGCAGCAGUGGGGAAUUUUGGACAAUGGGCGAAAGCCUGAUCCAGCAAUGCCGCGUGCAGGAAGAAGGCCUUCGGGUUGUAAACUGCUUUUGUACGGAACGAAACGGUCUGGGUUAAUACCCUGGGCUAAUGACGGUACCGUAAGAAUAAGCACCGGCUAACUACGUGCCAGCAGCCGCGGUAAUACGUAGGGUGCGAGCGUUAAUCGGAAUUACUGGGCGUAAAGCGUGCGCAGGCGGUUUUGUAAGACAGUCGUGAAAUCCCCGGGCUCAACCUGGGAAUGGCGAUUGUGACUGCAAGGCUGGAGUGCGGCAGAGGGGGAUGGAAUUCCGCGUGUAGCAGUGAAAUGCGUAGAUAUGCGGAGGAACACCGAUGGCGAAGGCAAUCCCCUGGGCCUGCACUGACGCUCAUGCACGAAAGCGUGGGGAGCAAACAGGAUUAGAUACCCUGGUAG
rnacentral:rRNA from 1 species